AGUUAGCCGGUGCUUCUUCUGCUCCUACCGUCACUUUCGCUUCUUCGGAACUGAAAGAGGUUUACAACCAAGGCCGUCAUCCCUCACGCGGCGUCGCUGCAUCAGGCUUUCGCCCAUUGUGCAAUAUUCCCCA
rnacentral:rRNA from 1 species